rnacentral:rRNA from 1 species
UAUGGUCAAGUGAAGAAGCGCAUACGGUGGAUGCCUUGGCAGUCAGAGGCGAUGAAAGACGUGGUAGCCUGCGAAAAGCUUCGGGGAGUCGGCAAACAGACUUUGAUCCGGAGAUGUCUGAAUGGGGGAACCCAGCCAUCAUAAGAUGGUUACCUUACACUGAAUACAUAGGUGUAUGGAGCGAACCAGGGGAACUGAAACAUCUAAGUACCCUGAGGAAAAGAAAUCAACCGAGAUUCCCUUAGUAGUGGCGAGCGAACGGGGACUAGCCCUUAAGUGGCUUUGAGAUUAGCGGAACGCUCUGGAAAGUGCGGCCAUAGUGGGUGAUAGCCCUGUACGCGAAAAUCUCUUAGUCAUGAAAUCGAGUAGGACGGAGCACGAGAAACUUUGUCUGAAUAUGGGGGGACCAUCCUCCAAGGCUAAAUACUACUGACUGACCGAUAGUGAACUAGUACCGUGAGGGAAAGGCGAAAAGAACCCCGGAGAGGGGAGUGAAAUAGAUCCUGAAACCGUAUGCGUACAAGCAGUGGGAGCCCACUUUGUUGGGUGACUGCGUACCUUUUGUAUAAUGGGUCAGCGACUUAUUUUCAGUGGCGAGCUUAACCGAAUAGGGGAGGCGUAGCGAAAGCGAGUCUUAAUAGGGCGUCUAGUCGCUGGGAAUAGACCCGAAACCGGGCGAUCUAUCCAUGGGCAGGUUGAAGGUUGGGUAACACUAACUGGAGGACCGAACCGACUACCGUUGAAAAGUUAGCGGAUGACCUGUGGAUCGGAGUGAAAGGCUAAUCAAGCUCGGAGAUAGCUGGUUCUCCUCGAAAGCUAUUUAGGUAGCGCCUCAUGUAUCACUGUAGGGGGUAGAGCACUGUUUCGGCUAGGGGGUCAUCCCGACUUACCAAACCGAUGCAAACUCCGAAUACCUACAAGUGCCGAGCAUGGGAGACACACGGCGGGUGCUAACGUCCGUCGUGAAAAGGGAAACAACCCAGACCGUCAGCUAAGGUCCCAAAGUUAUGGUUAAGUGGGAAACGAUGUGGGAAGGCUUAGACAGCUAGGAGGUUGGCUUAGAAGCAGCCACCCUUUAAAGAAAGCGUAAUAGCUCACUAGUCGAGUCGGCCUGCGCGGAAGAUGUAACGGGGCUCAAACCAUACACCGAAGCUACGGGUAUCACGUAAGUGAUGCGGUAGAGGAGCGUUCUGUAAGCCUGUGAAGGUGAGUUGAGAAGCUUGCUGGAGGUAUCAGAAGUGCGAAUGCUGACAUGAGUAACGACAAUGGGUGUGAAAAACACCCACGCCGAAAGACCAAGGUUUCCUGCGCAACGUUAAUCGACGCAGGGUUAGUCGGUCCCUAAGGCGAGGCUGAAAAGCGUAGUCGAUGGAAAACAGGUUAAUAUUCCUGUACUUCUGGUUAUUGCGAUGGAGGGACGGAGAAGGCUAGGCCAGCUUGGCGUUGGUUGUCCAAGUUUAAGGUGGUAGGCUGGAAUCUUAGGUAAAUCCGGGAUUCUAAGGCCGAGAGCUGAUGACGAGUCGUCUUUUAGACGACGAAGUGGUUGAUGCCAUGCUUCCAAGAAAAGCUUCUAAGCUUCAGGUAACCAGGAACCGUACCCCAAACCGACACAGGUGGUUGGGUAGAGAAUACCAAGGCGCUUGAGAGAACUCGGGUGAAGGAACUAGGCAAAAUGGCACCGUAACUUCGGGAGAAGGUGCGCCGGUGAGGGUGAAGGACUUGCUCCGUAAGCUCAUGCCGGUCGAAGAUACCAGGCCGCUGCGACUGUUUAUUAAAAACACAGCACUCUGCAAACACGAAAGUGGACGUAUAGGGUGUGACGCCUGCCCGGUGCCGGAAGGUUAAUUGAUGGGGUUAGCUAACGCGAAGCUCUUGAUCGAAGCCCCGGUAAACGGCGGCCGUAACUAUAACGGUCCUAAGGUAGCGAAAUUCCUUGUCGGGUAAGUUCCGACCUGCACGAAUGGCGUAACGAUGGCGGCGCUGUCUCCACCCGAGACUCAGUGAAAUUGAAAUCGCUGUGAAGAUGCAGUGUAUCCGCGGCUAGACGGAAAGACCCCGUGAACCUUUACUAUAGCUUUGCACUGGACUUUGAAUUUGCUUGUGUAGGAUAGGUGGGAGGCUUUGAAGCGUGGACGCCAGUUCGCGUGGAGCCAACCUUGAAAUACCACCCUGGCAACUUUGAGGUUCUAACUCAGGUCCGUUAUCCGGAUCGAGGACAGUGUAUGGUGGGUAGUUUGACUGGGGCGGUCUCCUCCUAAAGAGUAACGGAGGAGUACGAAGGUGCGCUCAGACCGGUCGGAAAUCGGUCGUAGAGUAUAAAGGCAAAAGCGCGCUUGACUGCGAGACAGACACGUCGAGCAGGUACGAAAGUAGGUCUUAGUGAUCCGGUGGUUCUGUAUGGAAGGGCCAUCGCUCAACGGAUAAAAGGUACUCCGGGGAUAACAGGCUGAUACCGCCCAAGAGUUCAUAUCGACGGCGGUGUUUGGCACCUCGAUGUCGGCUCAUCACAUCCUGGGGCUGAAGCCGGUCCCAAGGGUAUGGCUGUUCGCCAUUUAAAGUGGUACGCGAGCUGGGUUUAGAACGUCGUGAGACAGUUCGGUCCCUAUCUGCCGUGGACGUUUGAGAUUUGAGAGGGGCUGCUCCUAGUACGAGAGGACCGGAGUGGACGAACCUCUGGUGUUCCGGUUGUCACGCCAGUGGCAUUGCCGGGUAGCUAUGUUCGGAAUAGAUAACCGCUGAAAGCAUCUAAGCGGGAAACUAGCCUCAAGAUGAGAUCUCACUGGAACCUUGAGUUCCCUGAAGGGCCGUCGAAGACUACGACGUUGAUAGGUUGGGUGUGUAAGCGCUGUGAGGCGUUGAGCUAACCAAUACUAAUUGCCCGUGAGGCUUGACCAUA